rfam:Schistosoma mattheei strain Denwood, Zambia genome assembly, scaffold: SMTD_scaffold0013980
AGCCUUCUGUAUCCGUGCGUAGAUUUCGUCACACACCAGACCACAAGGGUUGAUGAGUUUCCCAAGAUGUGAUAAACAAAGCA